UGAGUACGAGCGGCUACGGCCGCGAAGUGGAUGAUGUCAAGCUUCCAAGAAAAGCCCUAUACCCGUUAAGGCAUGAUGGCCUGUACCCGAAACCGACACAGGUGGGGUGGUAGAGAAUACCGAGGGGCGCGAGGUAACUCUCUCUAAGGAACUCGGCAAAAUGGCCCCGUAACUUCGGGAGAAGGGGUGCCACCGCGAGGUGGUCGCAGUGAAGAGGCCCAGGCGACUGUUUACCAAAAACACAGGUCUCCGCUAAGUCGCAAGACGAUGUAUGGGGGCUGACGCCUGCCCAGUGCCGGAAGGUUAAGGAAGCUGGUCAGCGCAAGCGAAGCUGGCGACUGAAGCCCCGGUGAACGGCGGCCGUAACUAUAACGGUCCUAAGGUAGCGAAAUUCCUUGUCGGGUAAGUUCCGACCCGCACGGAAGGCGUAACGAUCUGGGCGCUGUCUCGGAGAGAGGCUCGGCGAAAUAGAAUUGUCUGUGAAGAUGCGGACUACGUGCACCCGGACAGAAAGACCCUAUGAAGCUUUACUGUAGCUUGGUAUUGUGCUCGGGCUCGGAAUGCGCAGGAUAGGUGGGAGGCUUUGAUCCAUUGCUUGCGGGUGAUGGUGAGCCACUGGUGAGAUACCACUCUUUCUGAGCUAGAGUUCUAACAGCAACCCGUUAUCCGGGUGCUGGACAGUAUCAGGUGGGCAGUUUGACUGGGGCGGUCGCCUCCUAAAAGGUAACGGAGGCGCGCAAAGGUCUGCUCAGGCUGGUUGGAAAUCAGCCGACGAGUGUAAAAGCAGAAGCAGGCUUGACUGUGAGACCUACAAGUCGAACAGGGAGGAAACUCGGCUUUAGUGAUCCGACGGUUCUGCGUGGAAGGGCCGUCGCUCAACGGAUAAAAGUUACUCUAAGGAUAACAGGCUGAUCUCCCCCAAGAGUUCACAUCGACGGGGAGGUUUGGCACCUCGAUGUCGGCUCAUCGCAACCUGGGGCUGAAGUCGGUCCCAAGGGUUGGGCUGUUCGCCCAUUAAAGCGGUACGCGAGCUGGGUUCAGAACGUCGUGAGACAGUUCGGUCCAUAUCCGGUGCACGCGCAGGAAUAUUGAGAGGAUUUCUCCCUAGUACGAGAGGACCGGGGGGAACGCACCUCUGGUGUGCCAGUUAUCGUGCCAACGGUAAACGCUGGGUAGCCAUGUGCGGAGUGGAUAACCGCUGAAAGCAUCUAAGUGGGAAGCCCACCUCAAGAUGAGUAUUCCCAUGGGGUAACCCAGUAAGGUCACGGGAAGAACACCCGUUGAUAGGCUCUACGUGGAAGCGCAGUAAUGUGUGAAGCGGAGGAGUACUAAUAGACCGAGGGCUUGAUC
rnacentral:rRNA from 1 species